CAAACACAGGUCCAUCGAGUCGUUGAUGCCAUCCAACCAUCUCAUCCUCUGUCGUCCCCUUCUCCUCCUGCCUUCGAUCUUUCCCAGCAUCAGGGUCUUUUCCAAUGAAUCAGGUCUUCGCAUCAGGGUAGUGUCUCAGAGUAACCAUCUUAUCGGGGUCCUGGGUGCCAGGUUCUUUCAUGGAUGAGAAGAAACGGGGAGCUGAGGAAACCAAGGAAAAAGGCCAUUCAUCUUGCAAAUGUCUCCUGCAAUAGCAAGCCUCGGGGCAGGGGUGUGUGUUAAUUCCUUCCUUCCUGCCGCCCCCAGGUGGACAGGGCUCUGAACAAAGGUGCUUGCGUUAGUUCAAGGGCCAG
ensembl:lncRNA